UACGGGGGGGGCAAGCGUUGUUCGGAAUUACUGGGCGUAAAGGGUUCGUAGGUGGCCAACUAAGUCAGACGUGAAAUCCCUCAGCUUAACUGGGGAACUGCGUCUGAGACUGGAUGGCUUGAGUGCAGGAGAGGAACGCGGAAUUCCAGGUGUAGCGGUGAAAUGCGUAGAUAUCUGGAGGAACACCGGUGGCGAAGGCGGCGUUCUGGAAUGCUACUGACACUGAGGAACGAAAGCGUGGGGAGCGAACAGG
rnacentral:rRNA from 1 species